rnacentral:rRNA from 1 species
UACGGAGGGUGCAAGCGUUGUCCGGAUUUAUUGGGUUUAAAGGGUGCGUAGGCGGGAGAUUAAGUCAGUGGUGAAAGCCCACAGCUCAACUGUGGAACUGCCAAUGAUACUGGUUUUCUUGAGUAUAGAUGAGGCAGGCGGAAUUUACGAUGUAGCGGUGAAAUGCAUAGAUAUCGUAAAGAACACCUAUAGCGAAGGCAGCCUGCUAAACUAUAACUGACGCUGAGGCACGAAAGCAUGGGGAGCGAAC